rnacentral:rRNA from 1 species
CGACGGUUGAUCAGCCAGAUCAUGAGCGCUAUCGAGUGGAUACUAAGACAUGCGAGUUAUGUAUGCAAUACAAGUCGUCAGCCUCAGUAACAGGUAGUGAUCAUAACUCGUGGAUGUGGAUAACCUCGGGUAGGUGAGAUUCUAUCGAGAUAGACCUUAGUCCAUGGAAGGUGCUAUGGUCCAUACAGUCUAGCGCCACGGGAUGGGACUGCGGCCUAUCAGCUUGUUGGUGAGGUAAUGGCCCACCAAGCCGAUUACAGGUACGGGCUCUGAGAGAAGAAGCCCGGAGAUGGGCACUGAGACACGGAUCCAGGCCCUAUGGGGCGCAUCAGGCGAGAAACCUUAGCAAUGUGCGAAAGCGCGAUGGGGUCAGUCCGAGUGAUUUCUGAUAAGGGAGUCUUUUGUUGGUCGUAAAUGCACAGGUGAAUAAGGGGUGGGCAAGUCUGGUGUCAGCCGCCGCGGUAAUACCAGCUCCUCGAGUGGUCAGGACGUUUAUUGGGCCUAAAGCAUCCGUAGCCGGCUCUGCAAGUCUUCGGUUAAAUCCACCUGCUCAACAGAUGGGCUGCAGGAGAUACUACAAAGCUAGGGAGUGGGAGAGGCAGACGGUAUUCAGUGGGUAGGGGUAAAAUCCUCUGAUCCAUGGAGGACCACCAGUGGCGAAGGCGGUCUGCCAGAACGCGUUCGACGGUGAGGGAUGAAAGCUGGGGGAGCAAACCGGAUUAGAUACCCGGGUAGUCCCAGCUGUAAACGAUGCAAACUCGGUGAUGCAUUGGCUUAUGGCCAAUGCAGUGCCGCAGGGAAGCCGUUAAGUUUGCCGCCUGGGAAGUACGGACGCAAGUCUGAAACUUAAAGGAAUUGGCGGGGGAGCA